GUGGAGUUGAUCCUCUCACGUUUUCCGGUGGAAGCUCAUUUUCUCACAAGUGCCGGAUAACCACACACUUGGACAGCCAGGCCUCUGAUCGGUUUCCCUCCUCGCAUGUCUUGAUGGGAAACACAAAGCUGUAAGUGGGACAGCCUGCAGGACUGAUGCUAAAAGCUUUGUUGUGGGAAUUCCUAAAGCGUAGUCCUAUAAAUAGGACUGUCUGCACUUACUCAGUUGUGCACACUGACCCAAAUAGGAACGAUGCAUAUGAUUCACAAAUGUGUACAUCAACACGCGGCGAAGCAAACAGGCAGGCACGGUUCCCAAGCCGAGGUUGUUUCCUUAGAAACAGCCUCAGUAUUUUUAUCUGCCUCUCCUUCUAAAUGAUUUUUAAAACAAAGUCCAAACAGAUGACAACUGGCGGCACAUAGUUACAACAUACAUGUAGACAGAGAACUGAGAUAUCCCGGUAUAAACAUAUCCCACAAAUUGAUAAGAAAAACAAAGGAGCACACCCAGUAUGAAAGAGGCUGCCAGCUCAUGAAGAUAAUGUGAAUGGCGAAACUACUGGCAAAUCCAACUGACAUAAAAACAAAAUACAUGUGAAAGGAGGCUCAACUUCUCAAAGAAUCAGGUAAAUAAGGAUUUUCACCCAAACCACUUUUGACUUAUCAGAGGAAGAAAAUGUUUAAAAAUUAUUAAUACCUGAUGUGGUGAAUGUAUAUUAAAACAGGCAGACACAUUCAUCUAUUGUUGGAAGGAGUAUGCAUUUCGGCCAAUAUUUUCUGGAUUUUCUUCCGACUUUGUCUAUUAAAGUUUAAAAACUAUAUCAGCUCUUUUACUAAGCAUCUAUCCUGCAACAAAGGAAAACAGCCAUAUGUAAGGAUAUGUGUACAGGGUUGAACGAUGAAGAAAAGGUUGUAAGGUCCAAAAGCAGAAACUGCUUAAAUGCCCAUUAAAAGGGAAGAAAGCAAAGACACACUUUGUGUUUUAGACUGAGUUCCCCAGAAAUGAGCCCUGAGAUGAGAUUUUUAUAAAAGUGAUUUAUUGGGAAGAACUUCAAGGAAAAGCAGCCGGGGAACAGGGACAGGGAAGGGAGGCUGGCCGCUGUGCAAUUUUAAGCAGCAUCCCACAGCCGUAACUGGCUCAUCACAUAGAGAAGUUCUGGAGACUGCUGGAGUCACAUCCAUUGUUGUCUCAGGUAACUCCCUGAACCCGUCUGUCACUUGUCCCCGGCUCUAAGGCUGGCUCUGGCAGCUGGAGCCAAGCCCUUUAGAGAGAAACAGGUGCUGGCUGGUUGAAGAGAAAGCACACCAGGAGCCAGUGGGCACAAAAGCAGUGGAAAGGUUGAACCUCACCUAGGGCACAAUGGUGUAUUAUUGUAUGCUAUUAAGAAGAACGAAUUAGAUACAUACAUCUAACCAUAGGGUUGAUCAUGAUAUAGAAGUGAGUGGGAGGAGGCUGUUAGAAAAUAAUAGGGAUCAUAAAACUCCAGAUUUUUUUCCCGGGAGUGGAGCACCUUAUUUAAUCAUUUAUAUAUAAGCCAAAACUAAAGUGUGAAGUGAUAAGCACCAAAAUGUUAAUGUUAAAGUAACCACAGAAUGUUUAAGAGGAAAAGAACACUCAGGAAGAGGUUUUUAUUUGUAGGGACAUUUUAAUGAGGUGAUAGUUAUCUUAAUAAGUGUUCUUGGGUGAAGACACCUGGAUUAUUAAAGAGUAAUUCUGCUGUAUCCUAUAUGAAUUCAUAGAAAGAUUUUAUCAUGAUGUUUAAUUAGAGACUUGAACUGCUUAGUAUCAUUUACAUGGUUUAAAGUAAACCAAUUUAAACAAAAGAUGAAAU
ensembl:lncRNA